ACACUGCUGCGUAACACCCAGAGAGAAAGCACGUUUAACAUACCAGCAAGGACUCAGCUGUCUCCCAUGCUAACAUACUGAAGAACAUCUCAAACUUCUGCUGUCUUAAUCUUCCCCCAAAAUCACUGCUGAGAAGUGCUAUUAGCUUCAUUUUACUGACAAGGGACUGAGGAAGAGAGAAAACCACUGUCUUGUCUAAGGUUUAAGAAAGAACACAUGUGAAGAAGAAGUCUCAUUAUAUCCAAAAGCUUGUAUCAAGAAAUAUAGAUUAGAGUCCUCAAUAUGACAAAAAGUCAGUGAAUUUGUGGAGACAAAGGCCCGAUAGAUAACUUGAGAAGAAUAGACCUGGGAAAUAUUAGAAAAUUCACCAGCUU